rnacentral:lncRNA from 1 species
ACAUUUUGGAAUCCAAAACUUUUGAACCCAGCAUUGUAAAAGAAAGAUCUUAAGACAUUGUUUGUUUUUGUGUGUGUUCAGUAUAUUCAAUUAAUAUGAAAGCAGCUUGGUUUCCAAACAUAUGGAAGAAAUUUUUCAUCAAAAGAAGGACUUUUUAGUGGGUUUCAGAUUUCUACUUGUUGCCUGUCACUUGAUACAAAAUAUCUGAUUUUCUAGAUUCUUUGAAGCCAAGUGGAAAAGUAGAUAAAACCGCUUUCUCUCCCCAGAUGGGAUGGAUGUGUGUUUGUGGGGGCUUAUAGAGGACGCAGCCCCAUCGGUGACAUUGUGCCAAGUCAAUACAGCCUGGGAAGAUGAGGCUGGACCAAUAGCAGUAAGCAUGCUCACUUUCCCAGGAGGAAAGGCUGGGGCAUCCCCAGGGAAGAGGAUUCUGGUCUCCAUGGUAAACUGUGGAGGGAAUCCACAAAGAAGAAAGCUGUGGGAACACUUGAGGAAGCCCACCUAAAGCUAUGCGGCUACCUGGAUCAGAAUUACCUGUGGUGAACAAGCGGUGAGGAAUGCUUUUGUUUACUCUAGGGAAAUACUGCCUUAGUAUCAGUUCAGCAAUAGAAAACCUAGGUCAGCCAGUCCUUCCCACUUGUCUUCACAACUCUCAGGUCAUCCAGUUUGGUUUCCCAACAAACCUCCCAGCAUCAGCCUCUUCAUGCUCAAAAGGAGAAAGACUGAAAGGGAAACUGAGUGGCUGGAUCCAGCCCUGACGCAGCCUUGGGAAGAGAUGUUGCUGUGGCCCCCACACACGACUGGGACUUUAAUGACUGAGACCAGCCUAACCCUGGAUUUGCUGUCCUUGCACCCCAUCACCUCCAUUGUAGUUGUUAUUAUGUUGCUUUGUAAUGUUCUGAUUAUUGCUGGUUUGCUCCACUGGACAAUAAGUACCUUAAUAUUACUCACUGCUUCUCAUCCAUCAUUUCCAAUGCCAAACACAAUUAAUUGGAUGAGUGAAUUUUUAAAAAUUGUACAUGGGAUACAUGUAUAAUUUUUUUUAAGUUAUGCUUUAAAAAAAUUAUACAUGGGAUACAUGCACAUGGCAUACUUGUGCAGGUUUGUUACAUAGGUAUACAUGUGCCAUGGUGGUUUGCUGCACCCAUCAACCAGUCAUCUACAUUAGGUAUUUCUCCUAAUGCUACCCCUACCCUAGCCCCCCAGUCCCCGACAGGCCCUGGUGUGUGAUGUUCUCCUCCCUGUGUCCAUGUGUUCUCAUUGUUCAACUCCCACUUAUGAGUGAGAACAUGUGGUGUUUGGUUUUCUGUUCCUAUGUUAGUUUAGUUAGCUGAGAAUGAUGGUUUCCAGCUUCAUCCACGUCCCUGCAGAGGACAUGAACUCAUCCUUUUUUAUGACUGUAUAGUAUUCCAUGGUGUAUAUGUGCCACAUUUUUUUUUUAAUUUUUAAGAAUAUGUUAGGCAACACCAGGCAUAUCAUUAUUCUCUCUAGGACUUAUUUGUCCAUAUUUAAGAUGUAGCAACUGGUAUAAAGCCUCUUCCAAUGGUCAUGUGCUAGGAUUCUAGAUGCGGGAGGGCAGGGGAUGAGGCUAGGGAUAAACAUAAAACUACACCAUUAGGUACAGUAUGCACUACUCAAGUGACAGGUGCAGUAAAAGCUCAAAAUUCACAACUUUAUAAUUCAUCCAUGUAACAAAAGCUACUUGACCCCCAAAACUACUGAAAUAAAGAUU